rnacentral:siRNA from 1 species
UUCCGGGGGGAGUAUGGUCGC